AUGUAAGUUAACUAAUUAAUAUAUUAUUGUCAUAAUCUACAGUAAAAAUCAUCUGAUUUAACAUUCAUCUUUUCCAGGUCAAGCUAAUUCAGUGACAGCAGUGAUUCCAGUCCACAUCACAAACUCUCAGUAUCCCUCAACUACCACCACACAUGUAACUAAAGACACGAAGACAGAUCCAGCAGAAGCUGAAGUCUCUAGGACUGCUGGAUUAUUAUUCAGAGUGAUUGUGAUUACUGUAGAGUUUGCAGCGUUUGCUGCUCCUACUGUGAUUCUUCUUCAGAUCAUCUGUGCAAGAAGAGCUGGUGAGUUUUUGAGAUGAUUCACAUUUAUCUGGAACGAUCUGCACUCAUGAGAGCUCAGUAAAUGCUUUUGUGUUGAAUUAUCUUGCAGGGAGGAAGGACUCACAGCAUCCAGAGGAAAUAGAGAUUAAUACAAUAUUACAGUAAAAUACUCUACAAAUAACAGAAUACUGCAAGAUUUGUCUUCAUCUCGAUGAUAUGAUGAUAUUUAUACAGCUUACGUUCAUAUUUGCUCUAUAUACUGUACUGAAUGCUUUUUAAAUACAGAGAUCAACAGAAGUGCUUUUAAUAACCAUGAAUAAUUAUUACAGAAAUUCUAAUAGAAACACAUGGUAAUUUUCUAAUCUUGAUUCAUCUAAUCAUUGCAUUGAACUUUUUACAGAAAGCUUUUUAAAUGUUGUAAUAGUCCAUUUUAACUGAUGAUGCUACACGUCUGUUAAUUAUCAUACAACAUAUUUACAGAUGAAUUUUGAUUUAUUAUUAUUAUUAUUAUUAUUGUUAUUGUUAUCACUGAUCAUUUGAUGCAGAGACAAAUCCUUACGUAAAUAUCUGAAUGAUUGUCUUCCCCACCUACAUCAAGCUGCAACAUGUUUUUAUGUCAAGCAUCAUAUGCAG
rnacentral:lncRNA from 12 species